rnacentral:rRNA from 1 species
UUGGUUAAGUUAGAAAGGGCGCACGGUGGAUGCCUUGGCACUAGGAGCCGAAGAAGGACGGCACUAACACCGAUAUGCUUCGGGGAGCUGUAAGUGAGCGAUGAUCCGGAGAUUUCCGAAUGGGGAAACCCGCUGCCUGUAAUGGGGCAGUAUCCAUGUGUGAAUAGAUAGCACAUGAGAAGGCAAACCCAGGGAACUGAAACAUCUAAGUACCUGGAGGAAGAGAAAGCAAAUGCGAUUCCCUGAGUAGCGGCGAGCGAAACGGGAACAGCCCAAACCAAGAGGCUUGCCUCUUGGGGUUGUAGGACACUCUAUACGGAGUUACAAAAGGACAGAUUAGGCGAAGCGACCUGGAACGGUCCGCC